GUUAUAGAUUUUGUCAAAGGACAACAAUUGUUAUUUGAUCAAAUUCUUCAGGAAGAUAUUUCUGAAGCUGAUGAUUUGACAAUGGAGCAGAUAAAUCUUCUUGUUGGCAUACUUAGCAAGGUAUGGCCUUAUGAGGAGAGUGAUGAGUUUGGUUUUGUUCAAGAGCUUUUCAGUAUGAUGCGUACUCUUUUCUCUUUUGAGUCAGAGACACUUACUUUAGGGAGAUCAGUGCAAUCUCCAGAGACUAAGAGAAAGUUAGAAUUGAACUCGUUUCGGUUGUGCUUCAGUCUGAGCUCUUAUCUAUAUUUUCUGGUCACAAAGAAAUCUUUGCGACUCCAGGUUUCGGACCACCCUAUUGAUUACCGUUCUCCUGCUGGGCUGCAGCAGCCCACAUUGACUUUACUUGGUUCUCUUCUUAGUUCUGUGACAAGUUCCCUUGAAAGAGCAGCGGAGGAAAAAUCUUUGCUACUUAAUAAGGUUCGAGAUAUAAAUGAGCUAUCAAGGCAGGAGGUGGAUGAAAUUAUCAGCAUGUGUAUUCGGAGAGAAUGUGUAUCAUCAUCUGAUGAUAUACAAAAAAGGAGGUAUAUCGCAAUGGUGGAAAUGUGCCAUGUGGCUGGCAAUAGAGAUCAGCUAAUUACCAUAUUACUUCCACUUGUUGAACAAUUGCUAAAUGUCAUUCUCAUUCACUUUCAAGACAGCUCUGUGACAUCUGAUGCUAAUGGAGCUAUGAAAGUGAUUACAUAUGGUGUGAAGUCUGACUCAGAACAGGACACAUCUUUAUUGUGUGGAAAACUGGUUCCAGCUUUAGAACGUCUUGAGCUAAUAAGUGAGGAUAAAGUUGGCCGCCCACUUAAGGUAUUUCGCAGAUUAGUGACAUCAGUCAAAGAAAUGGCAAUUCAAAGGUGGUCCUUGUAAGAUAUUCUCAGGCACUGAGGAUAUUUUGUGUUUUAGCUCAUGUAAAUUUUAGAUCAUAAGAGUAUUCAUGCUUCCAAGAAAACGUGUAAUAUCUGUCGUAUAAUCUUUAAACAAA
rnacentral:misc_RNA from 1 species